ACCUGUUCCCAUGUCGAACACAGCAGUUAAGCUCUCCAGCGCCGAUGGUAGUUGGACUGACGUCCCGCAAGAGUAGGACGCUGCCAGGC
rnacentral:rRNA from 1 species